rnacentral:rRNA from 1 species
GGAAUUGACGGGGCCCGCACAAGCGGUGAGCAUGUGGUUUAAUUCGAUGCAACGCGAAGAACCUUACCUGGUCUUGACAUCCACAGAACUUGGCAGAGAUGCCUUGGUGCCUUCGGGAACUGUGAGACAGGUGCUGCAUGGCUGUCGUCAGCUCGUGUUGUGAAAUGUUGGGUUAAGUCCCGCAACGAGCGCAACCCUUAUCCUUUGUUGCCAGCGGUCCGGCCGGGAACUCAAAGGAGACUGCCAGUGAUAAGCUGGAGGAAGGUGGGGAUGACGUCAAGUCAUCAUGGCCCUUACGACCAGGGCUACACACGUGCUACAAUGGCAUAUACAAAGAGAAGCGACCUCGCGAGAGCAAGCGGACCUCAUAAAGUAUGUCGUAGUCCGGAUUGGAGUCUGCAACUCGACUCCAUGAAGUCGGAAUCGCUAGUAAUCGUGGAUCAGAAUGCCACGGUGAAUACGUUCCCGGGCCUU